GGCUGCUGAUUUAUUGGCCAGCCCAGUGUAUGGCUGGCAAGUUUCUCCUCAGACUCGGUUUCCACCCCCUAUCUGGUAAAAUAUAGAGGAUUUUUAUAACUAUGGACACCUCCUCCUCUAGACUAAACCUCUAGAGAACCAUUGUACAAACUGGGUGGAAGCAGAAAAGAGGCUGUCUGAGGAGAGGGGGCCUCUGAGACGAUAUCUCAGCUCUGUUAGUGAUUAAUCACCACCACCACCACCACCACCACCACCACCACCAUCAUCAUCACCACCAUCAUCAUCAUCACCACCACCACCACUAUCAUCAUCAUCGUGUUUGAGACAUGGUCUCAGUCCAGUCCAGACAGACCUCCAUCUGACUACUCUCCUGAAUGCCUAAGGCCCAGCAUACACCACUACCUUCCGGGCUCUCGUUCUGUAAGAGAUGAAGAAUGACGUGUGGUGAGACAUCCCUCACUGGAUAGAUGGAGGCUAGAGGCUCACAGGCAAAGGUCAUCUGUGGUUGCAGAUGUCUGUCCCUCAGCAGGAUUCACUCAGAUGUCCUUAAAGAUCCUCCAGACUAGGAAGAAGAUAAAGCUGAAACCAGAAGAAAGAGUUGCUAAUAGCCCAUGGAUGGACUAAUCCUUUAACCCUGGAGUCAUUCUGGGAGUGGAGAGCGGGGCAAAAUAAAGCAAAUAAUAAAAUACAGGAGGGCCCCUGGCCCGGGGCGGUGGGGGUGAUGGGAGUUGGAGUCACUCGCCUGUCAGGACCUAUAUCAACAUGUCAGCCACUUGGACAAACAAGCGUUUCGAGGGGAAAUAUUUCAGAUAAACAGACACGAUGUUAUGACAUAUCACCCCCCCCCAACCCUGGAAGGGGGUCCUCGGAGACCAAGGAGAAGAAGAAAGGAAGCAACGCCAUGCAGAGAUCUGUUUUCCCUGGCUUGAGGCCCCGAGGGUCAGCUGUAAAUAAAAUAGGUUUUUGAUU
ensembl:antisense Tbx3os1 T-box 3, opposite strand 1